UUGAACGCUGGCGGCAUGCUUUACACCUGCAAGUCGAACGGCAGCGCGGGCUUCGGCCUGGCGGCGAGUGGCGAACGGGUGAGUAAUGCAUCGGAACGUGCCCAGUAGUGGGGGAUAGCCCGGCGAAAGCCGGAUUAAUACCGCAUACGACCUGAGGGUGAAAGCGGGGGACCGAAAGGCCUCGCGCUAUUGGAGCGGCCGAUGUCGGAUUAGCUAGUUGGUGGGGUAAAGGCUUACCAAGGCGACGAUCCGUAGCUGGUCUGAGAGGACGACCAGCCACACUGGGACUGAGACACGGCCCAGACUCCUACGGGAGGCAGCAGUGGGGAAUGUUGGACAAUGGGGGCAACCCUGAUCCAGCCAUGCCGCGUGCGGGAAGAAGGCCUUCGGGUUGUAAACCGCUUUUGUUCGGGAAGAAAUCCUCUGGGCUAAUACCCCGGGGGGAUGACGGUACCGGAAGAAUAAGCACCGGCUAACUACGUG
rnacentral:rRNA from 1 species